AAGUCGUAACAAGGUUUCCGUAGGUGAACCUGCGGAAGGAUCAUUACAAUAUUUGUGAUACAAUCCACAACCUACCGUCUUUUCGUGAACAUGUUAUGUGCCGUUUGCGUCGUUUGAGGUGGUGCUGUCCUGGCGCUUUUCCCUAGGGAACCCGAUGAGUGUCGGGAGGUUCCCGAGUCCGGACAGUGCGUACUCCUUUGUAAGAGGGAGGCCUCUGGCUGCAAACGCGUGUUUCCCCUCCCCACUCUUAUAAAAUUAUCACCUUGUACCUUUUCUACUAGAACUGAUCUCUCGGGAAGGCGCCCUCUAGCUGGGGCCCUUCUUGCAAGACUAUACGUAAAAGAGAAGAACAACUCUUAACAACGGAUAUCUUGGCUCUC
rnacentral:misc_RNA from 1 species